CUGGACGCGCACCGGCCAUUCCAACCGGAACAGCCAACGAACCGGACCGUGAUGCCUCGACGGCGGCGCCCACGCGGCGACCUCGCCGUCGCGGCGGCGCUGGCGGCGCUGGCCCUGGCGGCCGUGGUGGCGGAAGGAGGCGACGGCGGCGCGGUGUUUGAUUACCGGAAGCUGUCGGGGAUAAUCAUCCCGGGGUUCGCGUCGACGCAGCUGCGCGCGUGGUCGGUUCUGGACUGUCCCUACUCGCCUUUCGACUUCAACCCGCUCGACUCCGUCUGGCUCGACACCGCCAAGCUUUUCUCUGCUGUAAAUUGCUGGCUUAAGUGCAUGCUGCUUGAACCCUAUAAUCAGACAGACCAUCCGGAGUGCAAGUCAAGGCCUGAUAGUGGUCUUUCUGCAAUUACAGAGUUAGACCCUGGUUAUAUAACAGGUCCUCUCUCUUCAGUAUGGAAAGAAUGGGUCAAAUGGUGUGUAGAGUUUGGCAUUGAAGCUAAUGCAAUUAUCGCUGUUCCUUAUGAUUGGAGACUGCCACCAUCAAUGCUUGAGGAGAGAGAUCUGUACUUUCACAAAUUAAAGUUAACUUUUGAAAUUGCUUUGAAACUCCGAGGAGGUCCAUCUUUGGUAUUUGCUCAUUCAAUGGGAAAUAAUGUGUUCCGCUACUUUUUGGAGUGGUUGAAACUAGAAAUUGCUCCCAAGCACUAUAUCAAGUGGCUUGACGAACAUAUACAUGCAUAUUUUGCAGUUGGUGCUCCUCUUCUUGGCUCUACUGAAGCAGUUAGAGCUGCUCUUUCUGGAGCAACUUUUGGUCUUCCAGUCAGUGAGGGCACAGCACGAUUGAUGUUUAAUGCAUUUGAUUCAUCUUUAUGGCUUUUGCCAUUCUCAAAAUAUUGCAAAGCUGAUAAUGUUUACUGGAAGCAUUUUUUUGAGGGAAAGGGAGGUUCUCCCUACAGACAACAAUGCGAUGAAGCUGAAUAUAUUUCAGACUACUCUGGAUGGCCCACAGAUCUCGUCAAUAUUGAGGUUCCUUCAGUUCGAGAUAUGGGGGCAUACCCAUCCAUUACGGACAUAACGGAGGACAUAACAUCAAGCAUGGAGUGCGGAAAGCCAACUCUCCUGUCAUUUUCUGCCAGAGAAGUUUCAGAUGGCACCUUGUUCAAAACAAUAGAGGAUUAUGACCCUCAAAGCAAGGCACUUGUUUAUCAGCUUGAGAAGUACUAUCAGGGCGAUCCAGUUCUGAAUCCUCUCACACCCUGGGAAAGACCUCCAAUUAAGAAUGUAUUUUGCAUUUACGGGAUUGAUUCAAAGACUGAGGUAGGGUAUUACUUUGCACCAAGUGGCAAACCAUAUCCAGACAACUGGAUAAUAACAGAUAUUAUUUUUGAGUUUGAAGGGUCCCUAAUUUCAAGAUCAGGUAAUUCUGUUUCUGGAAAGCCUAACAAUUCCAGUGGUGAUGGAACGGUAUCCUACAACUCCCUCUCAUGGUGCAAGAAUUGGCUUGGACCAAAAGUGAACAUAACAAGGACUCCGCAGAGCAUGAUGGAUCUGAUUUGCAAGCAAUUAUGAAUGUCGAUCACCAUCAUGGCCAGGACAUACUACCAAACAUGACGAGGGCUCCGCACGUGAAGUACAUAACAUAUUAUGAGGAUGCGGAAAGUCUUCCAGGAUGGAGAACAGCGGUCUGGGAGCUCGAUAAAGCAAAUCACAGGAAUAUUGUUAGGAUGCCAGUACUAAUGCGUGAGCUGUGGCUUGAAAUGUGGCAUGACAUGCAUCCUGAUUCAAAAUCAAAAUUUGUGACAAAAGCUUUCCGAGGUCCACUGAGAAACGAAGACUGCCGCUGGGACUACGGAAAGGCUCGGUGUGGCUUUCCGGAACACUGCGAAUACAGGUAUGUAUUUGGUGAUGUGCAUCUGGGAAUGAGCUGCAGACUGAAAAAUACAUCAACUAACCUCCUUCAACAGUAUCUCUGAAGUGUUUUGGGCCAAGUAAUAUUGUGGUUUGUUGUGGCUGCAUGGGAAUGAUAUUUGAUUUCCCAUUUUGAUUUGCGAAUGACAAUACUCGGUAGGGUAGAAAAUUAGAGCCUAGCAAAACAGGUCAAUUCUUGGUGUUGUGAUGGUUUUGGUACACUUAAUCUUUGAAGCAGACAUGCAAGCUGAAACCACACGUUCCCCUAACUAAUUUUGGUUGAAGAUGGAAGUCGUCGUUCUGAGGAGUGUAUAGUUUUGAUCUUGUUUUCAGCCCAUGUAGAAGCCAUUUGCAGUACCAGUACUUUCGGCGUCCUGGAGGUGCCAUGAGAUCACACUGGUGUGUAUUGUAUUGUAAACACGUACUAUCUGGGAAAUCAAGCAGUUGCGAAUUGACUCUUACAA